GACGAACGCUGGCGGCGUGCUUAACACAUGCAAGUCGAACGGAAAGGCCCUGCUUUUGUGGGGUGCUCGAGUGGCGAACGGGUGAGUAACACGUGAGUAACCUGCCCUUGACUUUGGGAUAACUUCAGGAAACUGGGGCUAAUACCGGAUAGGAGCUCCUGCUGCAUGGUGGGGGUUGGAAAGUUUCGGCGGUUGGGGAUGGACUCGCGGCUUAUCAGCUUGUUGGUGGGGUAGUGGCUUACCAAGGCUUUGACGGGUAGCCGGCCUGAGAGGGUGACCGGCCACAUUGGGACUGAGAUACGGCCCAGACUCCUACGGGAGGCAGCAGUGGGGAGUAUUGCACAAUGGGCGGAAGCCUGAUGCAGCAACGCCGCGUGCGGGAUGACGGCCUUCGGGUUGUAAACCGCUUUCGCCUGUGACGAAGCGUGAGUGACGGUAAUGGGUAAAGAGGCACCGGCUAACUACGUG
rnacentral:rRNA from 1 species